GUUGUGUAUUCUAUAUUGUAAUUUAACAUUUAAAAAACUGUUCUGUUUUUAUUUUUCAGCCGUUCUUCAUCUUCGAGAGGAACUGGAGUCUGUGAGGCGCGUCCUUAAAUCAGAAUGGAAGUGGAUCCUCAGCUCAGCAGGUAUGUGUCUCUUCAAUGGAUUCCUUUCACAGUAGAGGGCGAAAGAACAGCAAGGAGCCC